CUGCUCCUACGGGACGCAGCAGUGGGGGAUAUUGCACAAUGGGGGGAACCCUGAUGCAGCGACGCCGCGUGAAGGAAGAAGUAUCUCGGUAUGUAAACUUCUCUCAGCAGGGAAGAAAAUGACGGUACCUGACUAAGAAGCCCCGGCUAACUACGUGCCAGCAGCCGCGGUAAUACGUAGGGGGCAAGCGUUAUCCGGAUUUACUGGGUGUAAAGGGAGCGUAGGCGGGCUGACAAGUCAGAUGUGAAAUCCGGGGGCUCAACCCCCGAACUGCAUUUGAAACUGUUGGUCUUGAGUAUCGGAGG
rnacentral:rRNA from 1 species